UAUUUUUGUAAAGUGUAAAAAAAAGGUUACAUUCCCUCUGUUUGCAUGAAAUGUAGGCCAACAACGUUAGUUUAAAGGGUUUUAAAUAUAUGCACAGUGAUAUUUUAUUCCUGUUUCAAAUGAGGUAGCGGAUUUUUUAUGCUUUAUAUUCGAAGAAGUCUUAUUGCAAAACAUUCAAAAUAAUAAAAUGAAAUUCUUAACACUAUUUGCUGUUUUCGCAGUCAUUUUAUUGUCCAUAGAUAUUGUUGAAUCAAAUGAUAAAGUAAAUAAUGAGAAUAUGAGAAAUCUGGAAGACAAUAAUGGUUUACAAAUCACAAUGCAUAGUAAAAAGCAGACUGGUUUCAAUAAAGAUUCAAUUACAGGUAAAUAAGUCAACUUUUCGUGCGUCAAUAUUGACUUUCAGCACUGAGCAGUUUUUUUUUUAUCCAAGACGGCCUAAUGUAUGUUAUGUUUGGCAAAGAUUUUUAAAAAUUAAAUGUUUUCAAAAAGUAA